rnacentral:rRNA from 1 species
AGCUCCAAUAGCGUAUAUUAAAGUUGUUGCAGUUAAAAAGCUCGUAGUUGAAAUUGAGGAAAAAGAUGGUUUGAAAUCUACGAUUGAUAGCUAUCUUGUCCUUCGACGUCGUGUAUAUCUUUGAUGCUCUUUAAUGGGUGUUGAGGAUGACCGGCAAGUUUACUUUGAAAAAAUUAGAGUGCUUAAAGCAGGCUUAUGCUUGCAUAUUGUUGCAUGGAAUAAUAAAAUAGGACUUCGGUUUUAUUUUGUUGGUUUUCGAAACUGAAGUAAUGAUUAAAAGAGACUGCCGGGGGCAUAUGUAUGCUGGUGCUAGAGGUGAAAUUCUUAGAUCAUCAGCAGACAAACAACUGCGAAAGCAUUUGCCAAGAAUGUUUUCA